GCCCCAGGUGCUUCUUGUGCGGGGAGCAGGCAGAGACUAUAAAUCAUCUAUUUCUAUAUUGUACAAUUACAAGACAACUAUGGAGAAUGUUUUUGAACCUUAGAGGAAUAGGCCGAAUAGCACGGAGCAUGCCUGGGAAAAUUACAGAGGCCAUAACAAGCUAGGAAAAAGCUGGGUUUUUGGCCAAUAAUAGAGGCAGGUGG
rnacentral:misc_RNA from 1 species